rnacentral:rRNA from 1 species
CCUACGGGAGGCAGCAGUGGGGAAUAUUGCACAAUGGGGGAAACCCUGAUGCAGCGACGCCGCGUGAGGGAUGAAGGUUUUCGGUUUGUAAAGCCCUAUUAUCAGGGAAGAAAAUGACGGUACCUUACGAAUAAGCACCGGCUAACUCCGUGCCAGCAGCCGCGGUAAUACGUAGGGUGCAAGCGUUACCCGGAUUUACUGGGCGUAAAGAGAGCGUAGGCGGGAAAGCAAGUCAGAAGUGAAAUCCUAGGGCUUAACCUUGGAACUGCAUUUGAAACUGUGAAGCUAGAGUGUGGGAGAGGUAGGCGGAAUUCCUGGUGUAGGGGUGAAAUGCGUAGAGAUGAGGAGGAACACCAGUGGCGAAGGCGACUUACUAGACUAUAACUGACGUUGAGGCGCGAAAGCGUGGGGAGCAAACAGGAUUAGAUACCCGAGUAGUC